rnacentral:lncRNA from 1 species
GGCUGCCAGCUGCCAUGCACAGGGAUUUUUGCCCACGGGUGCUACCUGUGUCCCCUCCCCACGCUGCUCACCCCCCCCCAUCCCCACACACCGCCGGCGCGGUGGCAGAGCUGCAUAUUAUUCAUUCCCACCACACGUCGAAGCCAUCUGGAUGGUGUUGGCCCUUCUGCCACACCGCGGAGGAUUGUUAACACAAAGCAUAUGCUUUGUUUGAAAUUAAUAAUAAUUUGAGGCUCUCACCAGCUGCUGGUAAUUGGCUCCCCUUUCGCUGCGAUAACCAAGAGCAGCGGGGUGGAAAUGCAGCCACUUCCCGGCUCCUGUUCUAAUGAGAUCAGUGCGCGCCCCUGGGAAAGGUGAGUGUGACACAGGUGGGACGUGGCUUUGCAUGAGCAGCUCCAUGCAUCCCAGCUGCAGGGUCUUCCGUGCAUGCCGUGCUCCAAGCAUCAGAGUCACUGGGCAACGCCGUGCAGCAGCAGGGCGGGCUCUGCAAAGGGAAUUGCAUCUGAACAGCGUUGCAUCUGAAUAGCGCUGCACCUGCAGAGUGUUGCAUCUGAACAGCAUUGCAUCUGAACAGCACGGUACCUGCACAGUAUUGCAUCUGCACAGUGUUACAUCCAAACAGCGUUGCACCUGAGCAACACAGUGCCUGCACAGUGUUUGCAUCUGAACAGCACAGUAUCUGCACAGCGUUGCAUCUGAAUAGCAUUGCACCUGCACAGUGUUGCAUCUGAACAGCAUUGCACCUGCUCAGCAUUGCAUCUGAACAACACAGUACCUACACAGCGUUGCAUCUGAACAGAACAGCACCUGCAUAUCAUUGCAUCUGAACAGCAUUGCGACUGCGUGGCACUGCAUCUGAAUAGCACUGCGCCUGCACUGCUUUGCACCUGCACGGUGUUGCACCUGCACUGCUUUGCACCUGCACAGUAAUGGCAUUGCACUUGCACAGAAGGAGAGGGAGAGAAAGCAGCCCUGGGAUCGGGACCUGCUGCUCACAGGGCCCCGCAGGGCUGUGCCCUCACUGUUUGCCCACAUCCCACCGAAAUCCCACGGGAUCGAUGGGGGUCGGCCGGGUGCACCGCCCCGAGGCCAUGGGAUCGAUGAGGAGUGAAGGAAAUGCGGCCGAAGAUGCGCGGUUUUACAGCUUCCUCCCCAAGAACGGCCGUGCUUUAUGGACUGCUGGUAAUUGCCAAUUAAUUGCGCUGCAGCCGAGGGCAGGAAAGCAGCCCGCAUCCUCCAUACGGGGUGGGCAGCUUGUAGGUUUUUCUGUGCCGGAGCAUCCCUGCGCCCUGGCUGUUCCCAGCCCCUUCCAUUCAACGUGUGAUAGAUGGAUUGAUACGCAGCUUUAAUCAGUGUAAUAUAUAAAGCACUUAAUU